rnacentral:tRNA from 1 species
GGUUUCGUAGCUUAAGUAAAGCCUCUGAUUGUUAGUCAGAAGAGUAGGAUUAGAAAUAGGUCCUCGGAGUCU